CCACGACGACCCCGCACGGAUUGAAACGCGUCGUCGUCGUUCGCGCAUCUGUGGUUGUACCAUCGAGCGGGGCGCAACUCGUGUGGUGGCCGCGAACCGCGACAUAUCUCGCGGACUCUCCUGCCUGCCUGCUGUUCUGUUAUGCUGGAUUGACUGCGGCGUGCACCAGCAGCAGGCAGCAUACCGUAUGUGUAGCCUUGUAGCCUUCCCGUGUGUAGUAGCAGCAAUGACAACGAACAGCACGCUGAUGAUGAUGAUGUAGCAAAGCGAGAGAGAGGCCAAGUCACACAUGCGGAUUCUCAAAUCUGGGGCCAAGGCACGGCACCGUGCUGCUGGCUGACGACGGGUUCCUCGGUGGACAGAGUGUUAGUGUUCGUCGUGUCGUAGUCGAGUUUGAGCUGACUUUUUUGUUACUCAUCGCGUCGUCGACGGCUUUGGAGUUUCAUUUUUCCACACUCGGGGGACAUUUUUACGCUCUUCUUGCUGGAUAAACAGUGGUUAGUUUUCCAAUACGGUACACACGCACAGGUGACGGAUUUUCUCGCGCGGCAAUCGCAUUGUGUUUUAUUCAGUAGCAGCAGAAGCAGCAGUAGCAGAAGAGAGUAAAUUUGUUAUGAAUUUGAAAAGAGAAAGAAGAAUCAAAACAAACCAAGCCAGAUUCAACUGUAUGUGAAACCGAUUGUGUAUGUGUUAUUAGUGGAUAAGUCAUCCGGAAAAGGCUUCAUUUGGCAAGAUAUCUAUAACUGUGUGAAAAAGUCAGCGCUUCGAACUACGUUUGUGGAAGCAGAAGUGAAGUGUACAAUAAAGAAUACACGAAUUUUUUGUGUGAAGUACAUUGAGUUGAUUUUUAAAAGAGAGUUGAAGACAGCAGAAGAGCCACUAUCCACUGUCGUACGAGUAUAGAAGCGUUGUCAUCAUCGUCGCGGCCGUCUUUUAUCAGUACCUACUCUACCAUCACCAUUACGGUCAGCUCUCCUCUCCUCAAUCAACUCAGCACUGCAUACGAGUUUCCGAGCAAUCGCCUACGGUGUUAAUCCGCUAGUUGUGUGCUGCCCAAGAAACGAUCCUGAACUCAUUCGGUGAACCGAGCCGUCGAAUAACCGUCGCUAAGUGAAAAAUACGCGAGCGUGCGAAGCUGAAAACUGUGAUAAAUCAUUCGUUCUAAAGGGAAAAUUCAGUGUCUACGUGAAGUCAAACAACUGCUCCCUCAA